GUGAUGGCCUAUCCAUCUUCAUUUUAAGUUGAUAUCCCUAGUAUUUUACAAUUGAAACUGAAAGAUGCCAUGGAAUUCGAUGCAGAUACACUGGUCGAUACGAGGCAUUUUUGUGGGAUAACACUGAUCCAACACAAAAACCAAAGACUGUUUAUAUAGGUGGAUAUGAUGAUGAAGUAUCAGCAGCAAGGGCUUAUGAUUUAGCUGCUCUGAAACUAUGGGGAGAAUUUGCUCCG